rnacentral:rRNA from 1 species
CCUACGGGGGGAGCAGUGGGGAAUAUUGGACAAUGGGCGAAAGCCUGAUCCAGCCAUGCCGCGUGUGUGAAGAAGGCCUUCGGGUUGUAAAGCACUUUCAGUGGGGAAGAAAGCCUUGGGGCUAAUACCCUCGAGGAAGGACAUCACCCACAGAAGAAGCACCGGCUAACUCCGUGCCAGCAGCCGCGGUAAUACGGAGGGUGCGAGCGUUAAUCGGAAUUACUGGGCGUAAAGCGCGCGUAGGCGGUCUGAUAAGCCGGUUGUGAAAGCCCCGGGCUCAACCUGGGAACGGCAUCCGGAACUGUCAGGCUAGAGUGCAGGAGAGGAAGGUAGAAUUCCCGGUGUAGCGGUGAAAUGCGUAGAGAUCGGGAGGAAUACCAGUGGCGAAGGCGGCCUUCUGGACUGACACUGACGCUGAGGUGCGAAAGCGUGGGUAGCAAACAGGAUUAGAUACCCUAGUAGUC